GUGUAAAGCUUCCCCUAUCAACAUGAUGUGUUAGAGUGAGGGUAGAAGGAUGAUUUGGGAUUGAAUAAGUGUGGGUUAAAUUCUAAAAAGAAAGAAAGUUAAAGUAAACUCUUGGUUUUAAUUUAUAUUUUGGAUCCAGGGGCAAAAAGGUCAUUUUACCCUCAUUAAUUAGUGUAGAAAUUAAGUUAUGGGGUGUAGAACGUAAAGGAAGGAAAAUAACUUUGAAUAGUAAUAUGAGGGCUACGUGAAUCUUAAAAUAUUUUGGUGGUUGUGGGUAUUUUAAAAAGUAGAUAAAAUAAGAGAAAGAUUGAAUAAGAGAAGAUAAAAAGGAGAAGGGGAAACUAGGGUUUGCACAUUUUAACCUACAUCUAAAACAAAAGAGAGAGAGAGGCGGUUCUGGGAGAGAAGAGGAAGAAUUACAUGUUGGAAAACAAUCGGUACCGAUUUUGCGCAGCGGAGUUAAAACAGAUACGAUUGUUAAGAGCGAAAAGUGUGUUCAGUCAAUAAAAUGGUUCCUUUAAUUUUCUUCUAAAACUUUUAUCAAACAGUUGAUAUGCUAAAAGUUUAAAAAGUGUAGGGAAGAGAAAAAUCACACAGAUUAUCUUUAUACUGGUUCGAAUCAACAGAUUCUACGUCCAGUUG
rnacentral:lncRNA from 1 species